UACGGAGGGGGCUAGCGUUGUUCGGAAUUACUGGGCGUAAAGCGCACGUAGGCGGAUCUUUAAGUCAGGGGUGAAAUCCCAAGGCUCAACCUUGGAACUGCCUUUGAUACUGGGGAUCUCGAGUCCGGAAGAGGUGAGUGGAACUGCGAGUGUAGAGGUGAAAUUCGUAGAUAUUCGCAAGAACACCAGUGGCGAAGGCGGCUCACUGGUCCGGUACUGACGCUGAGGUGCGAAAGCGUGGGGAGCAAACAGGG
rnacentral:rRNA from 1 species